CUGAGACCACCGGUGCUAGGAAUUGCUGAAGUGCUUCAACUGCUCUGGAACCACCUCCUUGGAAUUUACAGAGCCUGAACUCCAGCUGACCCACCAUGAAGAGAAAACAUGCGGGUAGUCACUUGUAAUCCGAUCUUCCGACGUUUGCCUUCCAGUUUAGAAAAAGCAAUCCCCCAAUUCACCAGGGUCAUAGAGUCUUCAGACUCUUUCCUAUGCUAGUUUAAAUAUAACCCAGGGUUCAGAUCUAGGGUAUGUGACAAUGGAGUCUCUGCUAAUUCUCUCUCUAGUGAUGGCUUAGGGGAAGCAGCAGUUGCAAAGCACAGCUGGAUGCCUUUUCACCAGUUGUGCAAGAAUAUCUACAUCACCCUCAGUGAUGGGGAUGUCUGCUGACCAGAAGGGACUACUGAUACACAGCACGUAUUGCUCACCAUCCUCAGCAAAAAAAUGUACUCCAAAGCACACAGUUGCCUUUCACUGGAGAUGGAUUCCCCCAUACAGAAGAAAAUAUGGAAAUCUCAGAGGGAACCACAGAAAGAAACACAAACCACAUAGGAGAAGUUCUGUUCAUCUCUAAACUGGUUGUCCCUCAAUUAGGUAAUUAGAUCUGUAACAUACUGAAAAUGGCUCUACAAAUAUAGCGAGAUAACUCCUCCCCAUGUCUCAGACUCUGAAAGAAGACAGCUUCAGUAAAGGCAGUGGAAAAUUAUUAAUAAAAAAGGUGAUUUAGGUGCUA